GCAGUGUUCUUAGAGAACAAGACCUGCCUGACCCAUCCUUCCUGUCUGACACCGAUGUUUCUUGUGUUGGUGUUGAUGGUACCCCCCGCAGUAGUCCUCUCACUAAACUCCUCCAUGUGGGGUCAGAUAUCCUCUCCCGGUUUGUUGUUUCCUCCACGUGCCCCAUUAACCUCUUGGGUGCCGAUGUUCUGUCCCGUCUCCAAGCAUCCAUUACCUUUACUGCAGAUGGCCAAGUUCAGCUAAAUACGCCCCUGUCACGAAAAGAUACUUCAGUACUUUGCUCCCUCCCCAUACUACUGCAUCUUGCAUCUCCUACAGGGGAAUCAAGGGUCCCUCAUGCCCCCAGUGCUCUGGACAAAAUCCCUGCAAAGCUCCACAGGUCCGGAUGAUAUUGGACGCCUUAAAGCUCCCCCAGUUGUGGUCACACUUCUGCCAAGAGUAGCG